rnacentral:rRNA from 1 species
GAUGAACGUUGGCGGUGUGCCUAAUACAUGCAAGUCGAACGGAGACUGUAGCAAUACUGUCUUAGUGGCGAACGGGUGAGUAACGCGUUGGUGAUCUGCCUCGAAGUGUGGAAUAACCUCCCGAAAGGGAAGCUAAUACCGCAUAGUCUCUCAAGGUUUAGAAAAUUGAGAGUAAAGGAUUUAUUCGCUUCGAGAGGAGCCUGCGUCCCAUCAGCUAGUUGGUAGGGUAACGGCCUACCAAGGCAAUGACGGGUAGGGGACCUGAGAGGGUGGCCCCCCACAAUGGAACUGAAACACGGUCCAUACACCUACGGGUGGCAGCAGUAGGGAAUAUUAGAAAUGGGCGGAAGCCUGAUCUAGCAACACCGCGUGUGCGAUGAAGGCCUUGGGUCGUAAAGCACUUUUUGGAGGGAAUAGGAAGGAAGGUACCUCCAGAAUAAGUCUCGGCUAACUACGUGCCAGCAGCCGCGGUAAGCACGAGAGUA